GACUGAAUAAUAUGAGACUAGCAGAAAUUUGGUAGAAAGUGAACGAUAUCAGUUCUAACCUCAUUUGUCUUUCAGCUUCCCGGACGAUGAGGCAGGCAAUCUAAUGGCAGAUUAAGAGUGAAACUCAGUGAAAUCAUCCGGAAGCAAACGGAAUGGAUGGUCAGGAAGAUUUCCAAUGUGGCCAGGAAUGAGUCGAGUCUUGGGAUUCGAGGAACUGUUCUUGCUCCAAGUCCAGCGAAAGACGCUCUCAAACUGUAU